UGGGAUCUGAGCAGCCUGGACCCCUCUCAUCCCUACUGCCCCCUGAAGGGAAUGAAAGCACAGGGGGGAUGCCACGCUCCUCUCCAGACUCCAGAGGGCCACCCAAGCAACCAGGUUAGAAUCCAGGCCUGCGGAAGUGGCAUUUGCUACAGAAAACUACAAGAAAUCCAUUAGGUUGCCUUGCUUAUCUUGAAUGCACCCAAAGGGAUCUUGAGCUAUUCUGGGUGUAAUGCAGUCUUUGGAUCGCUUCCAAAAGGUCAUAAGACUUCAGUGAAACCAAUGAAUAAAGUAGAGGCAUUCAGUCAGUAGCCAGGAAAAGCCAGCUAUCUUCUCAUGUGAUGAUGUUCAAACUUACAGCAGCAUCAAGGGCUGCAGCUCUGUAAUGGUGUGAUCCUGCAUGGUGCUGCGUGCCCUAAAAAUCCCACUGCUACGCUCUCAAAGUGCUCAUGACCGUCGGUAUGCUCAGCAACCAUCAGGAUCAGAUCUUUAAAGCUUCAUUAGAACCCAAAUAAGUGUAAUUAUUGCUAACCCAAACAUGCCACUGAUCUGAAAAGGCAAAGAUCAAUGCAGUUUCCAUUACACAGUGAUCUUUAAAGCGCUCCACUGGCAAGAAAAGGUUACAGAACUUAACCAGACUUGCGCCAGGAGAGGAGACUGAGGACUGAAGCAGUCAAGGAAGGCAACCAGCCUCUUGAUCAUCUCAUUACAUAAGAAGGAUUUAUACUUCUAGGAGCUAUUUACAAAUACAUCGUGGCAGCCUCAGAACACAGUCUCAGACACCCGCACUCCUGUGGCAUGUCGGCAGAAGGAGACCUUAAAAGCCACAAGAAUGUAAUGCAUUUCAUUUAUGGAUAUUACAGGCAGAUAAAGCACAUUAGCUAGGAUCAA